UACAGAGGGGGCAAGCGUUAUUCGGAAUUAUUGGGCGUAAAGGGCGCGUAGGCGGCCUGGCAAGUGGAAGGUGAAAUCCCUCGGCUUAACCGAGGAACUGCCCUCCAAACUGCUUGGCUUGAGUCCGGGAGAGGUGAGUGGAAUUCCAGUGUAGCGGUGAAAUGCGCAGAUAUUGGGAGGAACACCAGUGGCGAAGGCGGCUCACUGGACCGGAACUGACGCUGAGGCGCGAAAGCGUGGGGAGCAAACGGG
rnacentral:rRNA from 1 species